rnacentral:misc_RNA from 1 species
UCUCCGUUGGUGAACCAGCGGAGGGAUCAUUACAGGAUCGAAAGACUCCUAUAACCCCUGUGAACUUACUACAAAUACGUUGCUUCGGCGGGUGCCCCGGGUCUCCCGGGGCGUUCAGCCCGCCGGCAGCCUUCAAAUUCUGUUUCUUUGCGUUGGCAUCUCGAGUAUACAAAAAUAAGUUAAAACUUUCAACAACGGAUCUCUUGGUUCUGGCUCGAUGAAGAACGCAGC